UCUGUGGGGGGGUCCCUGUGGGCGGGGGGGGGGGAAACCCAGUUUCUUGUGUGGGUGCUGGUCCUGGCUGUGGCCAUUGUCCUGCCAGACCCCUGGGGUGGCGGGUGGCUCUAUGGGGGUGUUACCAAUUCCCUCCCCACCCUCCUGGCACCCUCGGGGUCACCCCACAGCGCCUGGCUGGGCCCCACCGGGGCAGAUGGGGUGAGGCUGGGCUUCCGUGGCUCCUCCCUGGGUUUCGGCAGCUCGGCCUCCCCUUCCCGGCACCGCCAUCGCUCCUCCUCCGUGUCCCCCACCUGUGGGGCCCCACACCCUCCCCAGGAACGGACCUUCUUUGGGGACAGUGACACCGGUGGCAGGAAGGUUGGGGUGGUGGCCAUGGUGUGGCCAAACGGUUCCAGGCACCCAGGAUCGCCCCUUCCUGCCCCUGGGGGUUUAGGGGGGUCCCACCUGGUGGGGGACCCGCUACGGGUGGCAGCGGGGGACCCCGGGGACCCAGCGUGGGGCCGGGAGGAAGCGCCCGUCGCCGCCGUGCGGAAGCGGUGCCGGCGCGGCCAUGCUGCACCCCGGAUGUGCCGUUCCGGUGCGGAGAGGGAUGGGGUGUCUGCCAGGGCCCUGGCGGAGCCGCACACCCACUGCCACCAGCUCGAGGACAUCCAACGUGACUCCAACCAUCUCCAACACGGGGAUGACCAAUACGCCUCUGUCCAGCCUGGCCACAGUGUCAUCUCCAUCCAGCCUGGCCACAGUGUCAUCUCCAUCCAGCAAAGUUCGGUGGUGCCCACGACACCUUCACCCAACUCAACCACGACAUCAGCUCCGGCAGCAUCUACAACGCCUUCGCCAUCCCCAUCCAACACGACAUCUUCAGCCACCAGGCAUCCAUCCAACUCGACGGCAGCGCCCCCCCAUCCAUGUCACCAGGCUCAAGGGUGCCCACAACACCUUCACCCAACUCAACCAUGACAUCGCCUCCAUUCGUGACACCAGGUUCGGUGGUGCCCACGACACCUUCACCCAACUCAACCACGACAUCAGCUCCGGCAGCAUCUACAACGCCUUCGCCAUCCCCAUCCAACACGACAUCUUCAGCCACCAGGCAUCCAUCCAACUCGACGGCAGCGCCCCCCAGCCCCACUUCUGUGCCCACCGUGAGCCCUAGGCCUAACAGCACCUUGGCCACCAGCUCCAGAAUGACACUGGCCAUCAGCAUCAGCACUGUGGCUGACAACUUGGGUGAGAACCAGGCUGGGAGGGGGGGCACCAUGUGGGCAGGGAGCCCCCAGACCCGCCGAUGGGCAUGGCAGCAGCCCCAGGUCCCCCUAGACCCCCCCGAUUCAGGGGUUGCACUUGCAGGAUGGGGCAGGGGGGCUCUGGGUGCACCCCCUGGGCUGCCCCAUCCACGUUGGGUUGGGAGGGGGGUUAUUGAGACAUCCCCUUUUUUUUCCCCCAACCUUUUUCUCAUGGGACCUCGACCAGGGAGGGUGG
rnacentral:lncRNA from 1 species